UGGGGGAUAUUGCACAAUGGGGGAAACCCUGAUGCAGCGACGCCGCGUGGGUGAGGAAGUAUUUCGGUAUGUAAAGCCCUAUCAGCAGGGAAGAAGAUGACAGUACCUGACUAAGAAGCCCCGGCUAACUACGUGCCAGCAGCCGCGGUAAUACGUAGGGGGCAAGCGUUAUCCGGAUUUACUGGGUGUAAAGGGAGCGCAGGUGGCAAGGCAAGCCAGAAGUGAAAACCCGGGGCUUAACCCCGCGGAUUGCUUUUGGAACUGUCUGGCUGGAGUGCAGGAGGGGCAGGCGGAAUUCCUGGUGUAGCGGUGAAAUGCGUAGAUAUCAGGAGGAACACCGGUGGCGAAGGCGGCCUGCUGGACUGUAACUGACACUGAGGCUCGAAAGCGUGGGGAGCAAACAGG
rnacentral:rRNA from 1 species